rnacentral:tRNA from 1 species
GUGUUCGGGUAGUCGAAGGUGAGCGUCGUGAGCGCGUCGAGCGCGCGGAAGUUGCCCAUGUAGCGGCCGUAGAUCGUCUCCACGCCGAUGAUCCC